CUCUCGGUGGCCAAGCUGGCUAAGGCGCGAGACUGUAAUAAUCUUGAGAUCGGGUGUUCGACUCACCCCCGGGAGA